CAGCAGUGGGGAAUAUUGCACAAUGGGGGAAACCCUGAUGCAGCAACGCCGCGUGAGUGAUGACGGUCUUCGGAUUGUAAAGCUCUGUCUUUAGGGACGAUAAUGACGGUACCUAAGGAGGAAGCCACGGCUAACUACGUGCCAGCAGCCGCGGUAAUACGUAGGUGGCAAGCGUUGUCCGGAUUUACUGGGCGUAAAGGGAGCGUAGGUGGAUAUUUAAGUGGGAUGUGAAAUACCCGGGCUUAACCUGGGUGCUGCAUUCCAAACUGGAUAUCUAGAGUGCAGGAGAGGAAAGGAGAAUUCCUAGUGUAGCGGUGAAAUGCGUAGAGAUUAGGAAGAAUACCAGUGGCGAAGGCGCCUUUCUGGACUGUAACUGACACUGAGGCUCGAAAGCGUGGGGAGCAAACAGGAUUAGA
rnacentral:rRNA from 1 species